AUUGGAGGAUCAAGAAGGCUGAGUCUGAUGAAGCAAGACUUUGCUGAUACAGUCCUCCUAGAAAAAGGGGUGGAGAGAGCAGCCCUUAUUGGAAAAAAUCACAGGGCUGACUGUGCUACCCAACAUUU